AUGUAAAUUCUUACAACAUAUCUUUAAUAUAUCAUAUCCCAUUAGAACUCCACAUUUAAUCGCCUCGGGCUAGAGUAGUACUGGGAUGGGUCACCGCCUGAGAAUUCCUAGUAUUUUACAUU
rnacentral:rRNA from 1 species